UAUUAAAAAUUUCAUCCAUUUCUACUAUUAAAAACUGGUGUAGUAGACGGAAUGACCAAACAGUCACAUGAGGCACGCCACGUGUACUUCAUGCUGACGUACAGAGACCAACUUUUAAUAGUAAAAAUGGAAGAAACUUUUAACA
rfam:Gossypium hirsutum cultivar TM-1 unplaced genomic scaffold scaffold1271.1, whole genome shotgun sequence